UUUUGGACUUGCUCUGCAUGUCGGGCUCCCUGCACUUUUGGUGCGGCCAACCGAACAUGGGGCUGUCUCUUCACUCUCCCUCCCGUCAUGGAAUAUGUCGGGGUUGGGAUGCUUGUGAUCGGUUGCCUGUGCGGUUCUACCCACUUUUGGGUAGCGAAGUCGUCCCUCGCUGAUAUUUGCUUGCCYUUCUGACAUUUUUUUGUCGUUUGGGCAGCCGAAAUGUUGGCAAAAUCCUUGUGUUGGUGCGUGGUUGAAUGCCUCGUUGCUAUCACUUGGAUUUUUGCCGGCUCUCACGGAUGCGGUGCCUAGUGCUAAGCUUUGCGGGACUUUGCCCCGCAGACUUCGGGAGGUCCCUUGUACGAGUCAUUGCUCUUAUACGCCGUUUGUCGUGUUGCCGGUGGCGAUACGCAGAUCGUGUUCUGCCGUGUUGUUAUUAACGACACGUCAGAACAAAGUGUCCGGAGCGUGCUCGCGUGCAUGUGGAGUGCCUCUCGUUCGUAUCAGAAGCGAUUUCCGGUUUGCGUCAUGCAAAGGCCCGCCCGUCCGGGCCGGUGCUGGAGCUGACGUGCCGGCUCUCGUUUAAGACGUGC
rnacentral:misc_RNA from 1 species